UACGUAGGGUGCGAGCGUUAAUCGGAAUUACUGGGCGUAAAGUGUGCGCAGGCGGCCGCGCAAGUCGAGUGUGAAAGCCCCGAGCUUAACUUGGGAAUUGCGCUCGAAACUACGUGGCUGGAGUGUGGCAGAGGAAGGUGGAAUUCCACGUGUAGCGGUGAAAUGCGUAGAGAUGUGGAGGAACACCGGUGGCGAAGGCGGCCUUCUGGGCCAACACUGACGCUCAUGCACGAAAGCGUGGGGAGCAAACAGG
rnacentral:rRNA from 1 species